CAUGAACAGUGAAAACAAUUGAGAGUGCAACAUAGCUUUCAGAGAUGUACAUGAUUAAGUAUUUUGGUUAUACUUAGCGCUAACAGAAGUUAACAUACAUGGUGCUUCACGGUAGCCCUCUCUGGAGAACCCUAUUGAAUUUAACUUUCUGUACAUAGAGCCAGUACUUCUCAAAACGUAAUCUGAAUGAAAUUGCAGUUAUGAAGAUAUCUUGAUAUCCUCUACUAUGUUGCUGAACAUAGUUUUGGCACAAUUCAAUCGUUCAAUGCAUAGGUAGUUGUAGCUUGUUCUCUUUGUUCUGUUGGGUGAAAAUUAUUCUGGACUGUGCUUGUAAAUCAACUGAUGACCCCAUGAAUUGGAACUAGUGACUGAAGAUCUCAACAUCUUUUCAGACAGAAUAAUUCAUUAAUUCUAUCCCAUCCUCUUGCAGUCAGGUUACCAUCUUCUGGUUCAAAAACAACUUUGCUGCUUCAGUAUUUUUUGUAAAAAGGACAGAAUACUUGGUUAAUUCAAAGCAAUUUCAGAACACUACAGGGUUGUUUGGUUGGAAAGAUAGAAAAAAUAACUUCUGUAUAAUUGUUUUAUUGCCCAUUUAAUAAAUAAAAAAAAAUCUUGUGUGGCUGAUGUAUCAUUUGGUUGAUGGUAUAAAUGUUCGUACUAAGUUAUAUGAGAAUGUAUAUUUUAUUUUAUGCAUAAUAUAAUGUGAAGUAAAGAUAUAUGCAUUAGCAUAAAAUAUGUGAAACAGAAAUGCUCCUAUAGCAGAUAGUCUUUUGUAUCUACAUAACUAUCCUUAUAUUAUUAUUCAUUCAUAUAUUAACUGCAUAACUAAUUAACUCCUGUAUUACAUAAUUAGCAUGUGAACUAUAAAUGACCUUGCCAGUAUAUAAGACAGUAAAAAUUAGUAGAAUCAUUAACUAGUUGAACCCUGCCCUAUUCGAAAAGUAAAAAGAAGAAAAAUAAAUAAAUAAAGAUAAUGAAAAUUAGCGCGGUUGAAUAAAAUAUAAACUCACGUGUCACGCUAAUAAGACAGCCCGCCAAAAUCCAAGAGUAUACGAUGUCGUUUAUCCUCUUCAAGCAUUUAUAAUCAAAUUCCGGUCCUU
rnacentral:lncRNA from 1 species